rnacentral:lncRNA from 1 species
AUACGACUUCCAAAUUAUAUUUUGACACUUUUUUUUGUUUAAUAGGAAAACGUAGGCCCUAUGUGCUUUCUCUGAAAAAUUCCGAAUUAAAUCGAUCUUCCAAAACAGUUUGUUAGAAGUUUUAACAGGUUUUUUUUUUUCCUCGCCAUACCUCCAUUUUAACAACUGUUAAUAAGACAAAGUUUCGCGACACGUGGUCACCACGCAACAGCACGCGCGGUCGAAACUACCCUAUCGAUCCGAAAUCCGUGAAAGCUCCUCGCAAUAAAGAAAUCCAUAAUCAAAAACCUGUAUAUCUUAAUGAUAAAUUAGUAAUUUUCUUAGGUUAUUAUGUAAAAAUCGGUAGAGAGAAGAGAGUUUUUCUAAUUUGUCACACGCUUGUGACAUUUUUAUGCUCGCUUAAUUCCUUUUAAUUGUCUAUUAUAAGCAAGGCGUGAGGUUUAUUGCCUAAGAGCGAUUAAAAUUCAACUUUGUCUAUUUGUUUCGAACGGAAAUUCAAGUUAGAAAAUUCAUUUAUAUUUAUAGAAAGUUAUAUUGUCUAUGAAAGGGCGGAUGUCGAUAUGCGACCUCGACACUAUAAACCUGUUAUGGCAUCUUUAUAAUAUAUUGCUUCCGUUGUUUAUAGGUAUAUCAUCAGGUAAUUUUUUUUUUUUACUUUUUUGUUAAUGAGGAAUGCUCCUUCAGCCAAAACCAGUCUGGUUAGAAUUUACAGUGAAAGUCUCUCACGCCAGUUCUAAAAUAAUUGUUACUAUAGUAGCAUUCCUGAAUUGUUUAUUCUGUAGAAUAAGAGGUCGCUGCAGUUCAGGGAGAUAUGUUAACUACUUCCUUUUGGUCAUCGCUUGUCCUCAUUUCUGCCGAAGUUGUUUUUUUUUUUAUUUUUUAUUUUUUUUCUUAGUUUUCUGAAGGGAGUUUUGUCGGUGGAUUUGGUUUCGUGGAUCGGAAUUUGUGUAAUUUUUUUUUGUACAUUUUUAAAUUUCACGUUAACGAGAGUCUAUAUCCGAAACUAAACUGUGUCCAGAACACGCUGGAGGGACAGAUUUUUCAUUUAAGUCCUUCAACAAGACUAGUUUUCUUGCCGGUUUGGCAAGAAGAGAUCACUGGGAUGGCCCACUCGCGGUGAUGUUCCUGGCCUGGUUUCGUCGUAGUCAGUCAGUCACGCUAUUCUGUGUGACAUAAGAUGUUAGACUGCAGAUAUUGCAGGUGUAGUUCUCUGUACCGGACGGCGGAAGUUAUAUAUAUUCCGUAUGAAUAGGUGCACUUAUCUUUAUUGAGAAUUGAUAUUUAGAGAUUUCCACAACAGUCUUUUUUUCUAACAUCGGAUAUUUAUAUGAGAAGUUAAUCAAAUGCCUUGUUUUAAAGGAUUGAAAGAGGAGUUGUAAAGGUAUGUUUAGUUUUUCUUCCUGAUUCAAAAACUUUGAAGGUUUGAGUACUAAAU